rnacentral:rRNA from 1 species
UACCAGCACCCCGAGUGGUCGGGACGAUUAUUGGGCCUAAAGCAUCCGUAGCCGGUACUACAAGUCCUCCGUUAAAUCCAGCUGCUUAACAGAUGGGCUGCGGAGGAUACUAUAAGACUAGGAGGCAGGAGAGGCAAGCGGUACUCAGUGGGUAGGGGUAAAAUCCGUUGAUCCAUUGAAGACCACCAGUGGCGAAGGCGGCUUGCCAGAAUGCGCUCGACGGUGAGGGAUGAAAGCUGGGGGAGCAAACCGG